rnacentral:rRNA from 1 species
UACGUAGGUGACGAGCGUUUAUCCGGAAUUCUGGGCAUAAAGCGCACGCAAGCGGUUGGACAAGUCUGGCGUGAAAUCCUCUGGCUUAACCAGGGGCGGUCGCUGGAGACUGUUCGGCUUGAGGCGAUGAGAGGGGUGCAGAAUUCCCGGUGUAGUGGUGGAAUGCGUAGAGAGUCGGGAGGAAUACCAGUGGCGAAAGCGGCACCCUGGCGUC